rnacentral:rRNA from 1 species
CCUACGGGUGGCAGCAGUGGGGAAUAUUGGACAAUGGGCGAAAGCCUGAUCCAGCCAUUCCGCGUGUGUGAAGAAGGCCUUCGGGUUGUAAAGCACUUUCAGUGGGGAAGAAAGCCUGCGGGCUAAUACCCUCGAGGAAGGACAUCACCCACAGAAGAAGCACCGGCUAACUCCGUGCCAGCAGCCGCGGUAAUACGGAGGGUGCGAGCGUUAAUCGGAAUUACUGGGCGUAAAGCGCGCGUAGGCGGUCUGGUAAGCCGGUUGUGAAAGCCCCGGGCUCAACCUGGGAACGGCAUCCGGAACUGUCAGGCUAGAGUGCAGGAGAGGAAGAUAGAAUUCCCGGUGUAGCGGUGAAAUGCGUAGAGAUCGGGAGGAAUACCAGUGGCGAAGGCGGCCUUCUGGACUGACACUGACGCUGAGGUGCGAAAGCGUGGGUAGCAAACAGGAUUAGAUACCCUAGUAGUC